GCGGGACACGUGGUAUCCUGUCUGAAUAUGGGGGGACCAUCCUCCAAGGCUAAAUACUCCUGACUGACCGAUAGUGAACCAGUACCGUGAGGGAAAGGCGAAAAGAACCCCGGCGAGGGGAGUGAAAAAGAACCUGAAACCGUGUACGUACAAGCAGUGGGAGCCUCUUAAUGGGGUGACUGCGUACCUUUUGUAUAAUGGGUCAGCGACUUAUAUUCUGUAGCAAGGUUAACCGAAUAGGGGAGCCGAAGGGAAACCGAGUCUUAACUGGGCGUUAAGUUGCAGGGUAUAGACCCGAAACCCGGUGAUCUAGCCAUGGGCAGGUUGAAGGUUGGGUAACACUAACUGGAGGACCGAACCGACUAAUGUUGAAAAAUUAGCGGAUGACUUGUGGCUGGGGGUGAAAGGCCAAUCAAACCGGGAGAUAGCUGGUUCUCCCCGAAAGCUAUUUAGGUAGCGCCUCGUGAAUUCAUCUCCGGGGGUAGAGCACUGUUUCGGCAAGGGGGUCAUCCCGACUUACCAACCCGAUGCAAACUGCGAAUACCGGAGAAUGUUAUCACGGGAGACACACGGCGGGUGCUAACGUCCGUCGUGAAGAGGGAAACAACCCAGACCGCCAGCUAAGGUCCCAAAGUCAUGGUUAAGUGGGAAACGAUGUGGGAAGGCCCAGACAGCCAGGAUGUUGGCUUAGAAGCAGCCAUCAUUUAAAGAAAGCGUAAUAGCUCACUGGUCGAGUCGGCCUGCGCGGAAGAUGUAACGGGGCUAAACCAUGCACCGAAGCUGCGGCAGCGACACUAUGUGUUGUUGGGUAGGGGAGCGUUCUGUAAGCCUGUGAAGGUGGCCUGUGAGGGUUGCUGGAGGUAUCAGAAGUGCGAAUGCUGACAUAAGUAACGAUAAAGCGGGUGAAAAGCCCGCUCGCCGGAAGACCAAGGGUUCCUGUCCAACGUUAAUCGGGGCAGGGUGAGUCGACCCCUAAGGCGAGGCCGAAAGGCGUAGUCGAUGGGAAACAGGUUAAUAUUCCUGUACUUGGUGUUACUGCGAAGGGGGGACGGAGAAGGCUAUGUUGGCCGGGCGACGGUUGUCCCGGUUUAAGCGUGUAGGCUGGUUUUCCAGGCAAAUCCGGAAAACC
rnacentral:rRNA from 1 species